rnacentral:rRNA from 1 species
AACGUAGGAGACGAACGUUAUCCGGAGUUACUGGGCGUAAAGGGCGUGCAGGCGGUCUGAUAAGUUCGGCGUGAAAUAUUCCGGCUUAACCGGGAUAGGUCGUCGGAGACUGUCGGACUAGAGGGUGAUAGAGGCGUGUGGAAUUCCGGGUGUAGUGGUGAAAUGCGUAGAGAUCCGGAGGAACGCCAGUGGCGAAGGCGACACGCUGGGUCACACCUGACGCUAAAGCGCGACAGCAUGGGGAGCGAACGGG